AUUUAACGCUGGCGGCAGGCCUAACACAUGCAAGUCGAACGAGUGGCGGACGGGUGAGUCAUGUCUAGGAAACUGCCUGAUGGAGGUGGAUAACUACUGGCAACGGUAGCUAAUACCGCAUCCCAUCAGAUGUGCCCAGAUGGGAUUAGCUUGUUUGUGUGGUAACGUCUCACCAAGUCGACGAUCCCUAGCUGUUCUGAGAGGAUGACCAGCCACACUGGAAAUGCGCAACGGUCCAGACUCCUACGGGAGGCAGCAGUGGGGAAUAUUGCACAAUGGGGGCAAGCCUGAUGCAGUCAUGCCGCGUGUAUGAAGAAGGCCUUCGGGUUGUAAAGUACUUUCAGCGGGGAGGCGUUACCCGCAGAAGAAGCACCGGCUAACUCCGUGCCAGAAGCCGCGGUAAUUC
rnacentral:rRNA from 1 species